GGGUUAGUAGGUUGGUCAUGCCUCUGGUAUGUACUGGUCUCACUGAUUCCUCCUUCUGAGGAACUUUCAUGCCAUUUAUUUGGUGUGAUGGGAAAUCAGGACUGUUACUUUGAAAAAAUUAGAGUGUUUAAAGCAGACUAUCGUCUGAAUACAUUAGCAUGGAAUAAUGAAAUAGGACGGACUGAUUCUAUUUCGUUGGUUUCUAGGAUCACCGUA
rnacentral:rRNA from 1 species